GACCAACUUUCGCUUGAACUUCUACUUGCAAAACAAGUAGCCACAAACAACUGAUCUUCUUCUUGUUCAUCUGCAAUUUGAGCUCCAUUUAAUUGUUGUGAUCCUUUUCCUUUUCAAAUAAUCUCAGCAUGACCAAGUUUAUGACGCUUUCUGCAUCUCACACCAGUUUUUUUCCAGCAUUUGAAGUGUGGAUGAUUUCUCUUCCCAAAAUGCUGAUAUGGUGGAUAGUUUCCACCUUUGUUGUUGUACCUAGAAUUGUUAUCAGUU
rnacentral:misc_RNA from 1 species